CCUCAGUUUCCCGAGUAGCCGGGACUGCAGACGCGUGCCACCAUGCCUGGCUAACUUUUAUUUAAAACUCUUCCAUAUACCAUUAUGCCAUCAUAUCUUACUACAAUCUUCCUUUCCUGUUGUUCAAAAAAAUCUUACACUCUUAUUUCCUCUGAAGCUUAUCGAUUGAUGGGAAUGGAAACAUAAAUAAAUAUCCAACUCCCAAUUGGACAUCUUCACAUGGACAUUUUACAGAAACCUCAAACUUAGUAUAUCCCAGACUGAACACAUGAUCUAGCCCCUGCGUAGCCCAGUCUAUCUUCCUGCUAGUGUUCUCCAUCUCACUACACCAUCCACAUUCAAUUACUUUUAGCCUAGAUAUUCAGUGUCCAUUCAGUCAAUCACCAACUCUGUCAAUUACAAAUGCUAAAUGCUCUCUGUCAUUCCACGACUCACCAUUCACUCCACUUUAACUUUCCCCUUGCCAUAAUCACACUUACAGGGUUGGGGGAGGGUGUGCGCGCAUGUGGUCAGAGUCGAGAUCAGGGCUAUUGAGAAUUAGAAUAAGUUUAAUACCAAGUCAUCACUUCUAACUGGUAUAAAAAGACUAUAAUAGUUCCUCCUUAGUCAGAAAUAAAAGUGAACAUUUUCUUAGAUUCCUGGAAGCUGCUAUUCAAUAUUAUAAGCCUUUGUUAAUAAAUGAGUUUGAUUAGAUCUUUUCUUCUGUGGCCCAGAAGCCAGCGUGGAGAGAUGCCUGGCAGAAGUAGACUUCCAAGUCCAGAUUUCCCGAUAAUGUCUUGGUGAAACGACUGACAAUUCUGCUAUUCAGAUCUACCUAAAUACUACCUCGUUCCUUGUCUCAUGUUCUCCUACCACAAAUGCAAUGCGAAGAGGAAGAGAGGGGUGCUUCAAAAAUCACAAAUUUUAUACAGGUACAUAUUUUAUUGUUAAUUUCUUUCAACACUGGAUAUGGAUAUUUUAUAUAUAAAUAUGAAGCCCUGUAUGCAUUCCUUAAAAUUCAAUUACAAAGUCCAGUGGAACAUGAAAACAUAGAUUAAUAUUGCCACAGCAUGUGAGGGAAAAACUGUCUCUCAUCUACUUUGAAAAGUUUUAUUAAGAGUCUCUUGGAAUCACCAUGUCCAAAACACGGAUGUGCAUAAACCAACGCAUUUUGAUAACAGUUCUGUAAUUGAACCCCUUUCUCCUCUCACCCUAGAGUUUCUUGAACUGAGGAAUGAGUAAUAUCCUGGACUAGAGGCUGAGAGAUUGUUUUCAUAAGCAACAGCCAUCUGUGCAGAAUAACAAUAGAGCUGAAAAGAUUCUGACCUAUGUUACCAAAGAAUUUUCCAGAUAAUUCAGACUCUUUCUAUGAAAAGUGCCAGAAUCUGAGUGACAAGCCCAGGCAACUCCUCCAUGUAGUUUUAGGAAGAAAGUGCUGCCAUCUACAGGGUCGACAUGGAACUAAUGCUUUAAAAAAAGGUGGAGAACCUACUGGAUCUUAAGGUUUUAAUUAGCUAUAGGAAAAAAAAUAGCAAUAGCAUGGCUAACGAGAGUAACACAAUGUGUCCACUUUAAAAUUUUUAUUCCAAAUAUAUUCUACUUCUUUGCUGUCCAAUACAGCUUUCAUGUGGCUAUGAAGCACUUGAAAUGUAGCCAGCGUGACUGAGGAAUAGUUUCUAAAUUUUCAUUUCAUUUUAAUUAAUUUCAUUGAUUUAAAUUUUAAAACUGAUACUCAAUUCAGUCAUUGAAAACUUUUAAGUAUGCUUGUAACAACUUAGGUGUCUGAAUCUAUUUUUUUCAAAUGUAAAUUUUACGAUAUCUAUCUACAGAUUAAAUAUUCCUAAUAAAAAUGUAGCAUCUGAAUUGCGUGUGCUAUAAGUGAAAAACGUACACCACAUUUCAAAUGUUUAGUACAAAGCCAAAAGAAUGUAAUAUUUUUCAUUAAUAAUUGUUAUAUUUAGAACAUGUCAAAAUUGAUAUUUAGCUAUAUUAUGUCAAACAAAAUAUAUUAUUAAAAUUACUUUUAUUGGCUUCUUUUUACAAUUUUAAUGUGAUUACUAGAAAAGUUUAAACGACACGUGUGGCUGACAGAUUUCUGUUGUACAGCACUGUUUCCAUUGUACAGCACUGUUCUAUUUUUCUAUUGUACAGCACUGUUCUAAUUGAUUCAAAAAAAAGAAGUAAAUAUGUUUAGCUGUUUAGUGCUUACAGAAUCACAUGAAGUGCUAGAUUUACAAAUGUCGUAUUUGACCUCAAAAUUAAAGCAAACGUGUAACAGACACUGAUGCCAUUAUGGAUAAAUGUAACAUAAUUUUUAGAGGAAAUGAUCUCGUUCGGUCUUCAGUGAUCAUCAUUGUGACUGAUAGACAUCUUAAAAUGGUAGAAAAUUUGGAUCUUGAUGAAUGUAACAACAUAACCGUUUUUAUCAUGGUUAACGAACUGGUGACAAGAAGCACACAUUGUAAAGAAAUUCCACUAAAUUUGUGUCCUGUUCCACUUCUUCCAUCGAUUUCCAGCAUUAUCUCCCCGAGACUAUAUCUUCAUUGCGAGGACUGACUCCCUGCGCUCAGCAGCCCCCCACUGGCCGUCCUGACAAGCGCAGUGCAGACUUCUCCCUGUGGUGCCACCCCUUGGUCUUUCGCGGCUGAGGCAGUCCUUCUCCAAAGUAAAAACAUCUCCUUCAUCAAGGAUGUCUUCUUCCAAUCUAUAACAUAAAAAUCCUAUCUCCCCUCUCCUUCUUCUUCCAUACUCCAUAUGUUUAACACAUUCUUCUGUUACUCAGGCAGAAAAAAAAUAAAUAAAUAAACCAGACAGGCCCAUGACUCAGUUAGCAGAUGCCCACACAAAGAUAGGGUGGCCAACCGUACUGAUUUGUUUGCCCAGGACUGUCCCAGUUUUAGCAUUGAAAGUCCCACCUUCCAGGAAACCCCGGUCCCGAGCAAACCAGGCCGGUUGGUCGCCCUACUUGCCAAUCUCGCCUGUUGACAGCAAAGCCAGAGACAGGAGAGCCACACCCCCGCGCUUUGCUCCAGCAACAGGGAACUGCCUGUUUCCCUGCUGACUUUAACCUCCUUCCCUUUACCCACAGGGCCGCCCUUCCCCUUCCCAGCCCCCUAACUUACCUGUCGCCCUGUCAUCCUCCAGGCAUCACUCCCCGUCCAAGGCCUUCCGUCACUCCUCUGGCGCAGGUAAGUUGUACCUAACCACGUUGUAUUUUAAUUCUCUGUCCAGUUCCCAAGUUUCCCAUCAGCUGUAAGCUUAAGUCAGGAGUCUUGUUCAUUCUUGUAUUUCUGUCAUAUAUUAGCUGAACUUGUGAGUGAAUGUUGAUUCGUCUUAGAAAGGCACCUGGGCUCUGGGUAUAUUUUGUGGGCCUUCUUCCAGGAAUACACUCCUCUUCUGACAUAACGACCAACGACAAACUGUUUUCCAAGACUGGACGUCUGCAUUUCCCAGCCUUGGAGAAUCUUUCCCCAGUCUUAGUCUCUCCAACACAGUAGGCAACACCGUCCUGUCAGUAAUCCCUGACUAACACCACCCCAUUCCACCCCUAGGGGGAAAAAAAAGACGCACAUAUGUACGCACAUCAAAAAGUUACAGCAACAAUAACCAAAAAAUUCCUUGCUUUCAUUUUCAACACUGGCUAGUAAUUUUUGCCUUUGGGGGUUGGAAUCGCUCAAUAUGCAUAUUUCUUUCCAACGUGGGAGAAAAGAAUGCACACAAGAAUGCAGCAAAGUGGAGAGGAUGCGUAGAAAUAAUGAAAGAAGUGUACCUAGAGGUGAUUAUAUAUGGAAAGACAACAAGUGAUCUCAGAGUGGCAGGUAGUGACAAGGAUGCAAAAAAAAAAA
rnacentral:lncRNA from 1 species